CAUAUUAUAAAACGGAAAUGGCGGAAGGGGAAAGCAUUUUUCUGUCGACGUAGUCAUGUCAGGUUCUCUGCAGCUCUCCCUAGAGAUAGGAAUCAGCAAGAACGAUUGGCGGAGCAAGCGUUUGCGGCAGCUGCAUAAUUCGAAAACAAGCGGCAAGCUAUGCCUCUUGAGAAAUAAUCUGCCGUCAAUUUCACUGAAACAGUAUUCUUGGAGUUCAGGUUUUCCAAAGAGAAUAUGGCACAGGACAAGCACCAGUGUUUGUAAAAACCAUCAGUUUAGAUGUCAUUGUUUUUUACAACCAGGCCCGGUUUUGGAUCCUAACUAUAUAAAGAAUACAGCUCAAACUUUAGCAAGAUCUUUUAAUUCAAUUCAAGGGAAUCCUGUUGUAAUAAAAUUGGCUUCAGCACUUGGCAUUGUUAUCUUUGCAAUUUGGGGACUUGGUCCUGUUGUGAAGAUAAGCAGGAAUAUUCUUUUGCAAAAGAAUGAUGGGAACUGGAAAAGAAGUUGCGCAUAUCUGGUAGCAACAUCCUAUAUUCAACCUUUACUACUGUGGAUGGGUGCAAUCAUUAUCUGCAGAACGUUGGACCCAAUGUCCCUUCCCACAGAAGGUGGUCAAAUUGUUAAACAAAGGCUCCUAACUUUUGUGAGAUCAUUGUCGACACUGCUGGCAUUCGCAUAUUGUUUGUUAAGUGUCAUACAACAACUGCAAACACACUUGAUGGUGACUUAUGGAUCCAGUGAUGCUAGAAAUAUGGGUUUUCAAUUUGCUACGAAAGGUGUGUACACAGUUGUGUGGAUUGCAGCUGUAUCAUUGUUUAUGGAGCUUUUAGGUUUCUCAACCCAAAGAUGGCUCACUGCUGGAGGGCUUGGAACAGUCUUGCUCACACUAGCUGGACGUGAGAUUUUCACAAAUUUCCUGUCAAGUGCAAUGAUUCAUGCCACCCGCCCUUUUAUUAUUAACGAGUGGAUUCAAACCAAGAUUGAAGGGUAUGAAGUGUCUGGGACUGUUGAGUCUGUAGGAUGGUGGGGACCGGCAAUAAUAAGAGGUGAAGACCGUGAAGCUGUUCAUAUUCCAAGCCACAAGUUCACUAUGAAUGUUGUUAGGAAUCUCAGUCAGAAAACACAUUGGCGAAUAAAAAGCUACAUAGCCAUCAAUCACUUAGAUGUUCGCAAAAUUAACAACAUUGUUGCUGACAUGCGCAAAGUCCUGGCAAAGAAUCCUCAGGUGGAACACAAGAAGUUGCAUAGAAGAGUGUUCUUCGAGAGUAUUAAUCCCGAAAAUCAGGCCCUCACGAUAUUGAUUUCCUGCUUCGUGAAGACCUCGCACAUGGAAGAAUAUUUGUGUGUAAAGGAAGCAAUUUUGCUUGAUCUUCUCAGAGUUGUUAAGCAUCACCAAGCCCGACUAGCCACUCCUAUCCGAACAGUUCAGAAAAUAUUAAAUGACACAGAGGUGGACAAUGUGCCAUUUUCAGAUUCUAUGUAUGACCAGGGGGCGGCGUCGAGCCGUCCUCUUCUACUGAUGGAGCCAAUCGCUGUUAAAGCCAAUGGAGAAGAGAAAACCAAAAGUCAAAGCCGACCGGUGCGUGCAGCUGGUGAAGAAGACAACAAGACUCCCACAAAGUCACCACCACCAGAUAAUACAGUGAAGGAGAUCCAAACACCAGAUGCCAAAGUGGAAUCCGAGAAAACGGGGGUGUCCAAAAUCAAGACAGUGGAGGAUUAUAAGGUAGCUGCUAAAUCUUCUUCAUCUCCCGCUCAGUUGUCCAAAAUCAAGACAGUGGAGGAUUAUAUAGUAGCUGCUGAAUCUUCUUCAUCUCCCGCUCAGUUGUCCAAAAUCAAGACAGUGGAGGAUUAUAUAGUAGCUGCUGAAUUUUCAUCAUCUACCGAGCUCGGCAACAGCCCCAAAACAGUUGAAAAGGUCGAAGUAGAGUCCAUCGAAGAAUCAUGUUCGAAUGUCGGCGUUGCUUCUGGCCCAACCCAGAGUCCUUUCGACAGCAAGAAUUCACAAAAGGCUGUCGAAGAAACUGCUACCCAAACAGCUGCAUCCUCACCCGACUCAGCAGUCAGAAGAUCUACUAACACCUCUUCUGCUUCUUCUCACCCCAAACAGGACGGAAAACAAUCAACGGCGAUGGGAAGCAAACCUUCUCUUGAAGAGAAUAUAGUUCUUGGUGUCGCUUUGGAGGGAUCAAAGCGAACUCUACCUAUCGACGACGAAGAGACCACACUAGCCAUCAAGGAAGAAAUCGAAGAAGACGGCCACAUUGCGAAGCAGCAGUAGUAGCAACAGCCAAGCAGUGGCCAGAAAGGAAAAGGGGAAAAAGUGACGGUAAGAGGUCGUCGAAUAGGAGCUUCUUGACUUAGCUAUUAGAACAAAGUUGAAGGCAUUGUUGAAGAUGAUUGUGUGCAGAUGUAGAUAUGAUUCAUUCAUGUGUAAUUGAAGGAAAAGCUUGCUUGAUGAGGACUUUGUUUGGUCACAUGAUCAUCGAUUUGCUGGUUCGUGUAAUAAAAUGUUUUACCAGCUUGCUGGAAAAUGUCUCCUUUAGCUAUGCUGUUGGAUGAGUCCUGCAGAAAUUGCUGCAUCCCUUGUCAGACACAAAGGUUUUGUUCUUUUUAGCAGCUCCAAUUUUUU